rnacentral:rRNA from 1 species
AUUAGAUACCCUAUUAUUUUUAUCGUAAAAUUUUUAAGCUGGAGUAUUAGUAGAUAUAAUCUUGAAACUUAAAGAAUUUGGCGGUAUUAUAGUCUAUUUAGAGGAAUCUGUUAUGUAAUCGAUAGUCCACGGUGAACCUUACUUAUAUUAAUUUAUUCUUGUAUACCGCUGUUUAUGAGUAUAUUUUUAGAUUAUUUUCUGAAUAUAGUAGUAAUUAAUAUUUCAAGUCAAGGUGCAGUAAUAUAUAAGUUGAAUAAUGGAUUACAAUAAAUUUUAUUUAUUAUGGAUUGUUAUUGAAAUAUAAUUUGAAGGUGGAUUUAAUUGUAAUUUUGUGAAGAUUGUUAAAAUGAUUAGUAGCUCUAUAAUAUGUACACAUCGCCCG